AUGAACGUUGGCGGUGUGCCUAAUACAUGCAAGUCGAACGGAGUUAAUAGCAAUAUUGACUUAGUGGCGAACGGGUGAGUAACGCGUUGGUAACCUGCCCCAAAGAGGGGGAUAACAGUUCGAAAGGACUGCUAAUACCCCAUACGGUCAUCAGGGUUAGAUACUUGAUGAUUAAAGGAGUAAUCCGCUUUGGGAGGGGCCUGCGUCCCAUCAGCUAGUUGGUAGGGUAAUGGCCUACCAAGGCAAUGACGGGUAGGGGACCUGAGAGGGUGGCCCCCCACACUGGCACUGAAAUACGGGCCAGACACCUACGGGUGGCAGCAGUAGGGAAUAUUGGACAAUGGGCGAAAGCCUGAUCCAGCAACGCCGCGUGCACGAUGACGGCCUUCGGGUUGUAAAGUGCUUUUAAGGGAGAUGAGAAAGGACAGUAUCCCUUGAAUAAGCCUCGGCGAACUACGU
rnacentral:rRNA from 1 species